rnacentral:tRNA from 1 species
UGUAGCUCAGCUGGUAGAGUGCUUGGCUAGUAUCAACGAAGUCCUGGGUUCGAUUCCCAGCA